GAUGAAGAACGCAGCGAAAUGCGAUACGUAAUGUGAAUUGCAGAAUCCCGUGAACCAUCGAGUCUUUGAACGCAAGUUGCGCCCGAAGCCUCGGCUAAGGGCACGUCUGCCUGGGCGUCACGCAUCGCGUCUCCCCCAAACCGCCAAGGCGGAGGGGAAGGAAGAUGGCUUCCCGUGCCUCACCCGGCGCGGUUGGCCUAAAUUUGGAGCCCGCGGCACUUAGCUCUCGCGGCGAUAGGUGGUGAACAAGGCCUUGGCCGUGCAAACAACCCGCUGCGAAGCUCUAUGUCACGUGCGCUCGUCGGACCCUUUGAAGUUGCCUUCGGUGACUUAAAACCUUUGCGACCCCAGGUCAGGCGGGGCUACCCGCUGAAUUUAAGCAUAUCAAUAAGCGGAGGA
rnacentral:misc_RNA from 1 species